UAAGAAUAAGUGGUCACUGCAGUGUCUUCUCCCUUCAAAAGAUCCAACUGAUGCUGAGGUAGAAAUUGAAUGUCGGCGCCCCCUAGUCUUCCUCUGCGGACUCUUGCGAGGAUGUCUCUUCAGUCUCCUGCAACACAUGGAAGGCAGGUUGUCUGUCAUGUAAACAGCCUCGAAAACCACCCUUGAAGUUUCUGUGAAAACAUUCAACAUCUUGGAAGGGGCGAGCGCCACAGGACAACGGGGUUUCCCAGGAUUCCCUCGCCCCUGCGCCACACGUGGAAGAUCCCCACAGACCCCAAGAUCCAGUACUCUCUUCUCAGCACCGGCGUGCGGCUGACUUCAGCUGCGGAGUCAUUUUCCUUGGAGGAAGCUUAAUAUUCAAUCCAAGCUAUUCCCGAUCGAGUUAGCUUAUGUCGUGAAGGAUUUUCAACACUGGUGGAAGUGAAUCCUUCCUUUUCCACAUUCUCAUGCAUCCUGGAUGCCUUCUUCUUGGUCCUUCCCUACUGUUCUGUGCAUCCGUGACUUUUUUUUUUUUUCCUGAAUC
ensembl:processed_transcript 1700006J14Rik RIKEN cDNA 1700006J14 gene